AAUAAGCAUCUCGAUUCUCAUGACUCAUACGCAAAUGAACUUUCCCAUCACACGAAAUGCAUGAACAGAACAAAAAGGGCUUAGCUUGUGCAUUUAAAAGACAGCUAACCUUCUCAUCAAGAACCCAAAUAACCAGUUCCUGAGACUUGAAUCACCAUAUACGCCAUAUGCAUAUUUCUUUUGAGAGCUAGGAUUUUGAAGAAUAUAUAUCUAGUGCAGGUGGAGGCUUCCAAAGGGAUCGCAUUGAUCUAAUUGAUCAUAUAUGUCAAACAUCGUCAAUACAGACAUGGCGGGUUAUGUUUUCGUCUAUGUAAAUAGUUGGAUCAUGCAAUCCCUUCGGACGUUUCCAUCAUCUGCUCUAAACUUCUAACUCAUGUGAUAAUCGGUUUAUCCAGGGCCAAAUAUAUGAACAUAUAUACUCAAAGACAUGGCAGGUGUGAAGGAACCCCGCAUGAUUAAUGAACGAAUAAUCAUCAAUAAAAAAACAAGUUAAAGCAACAGUAACACCAUUACACUGGAUAUUUAUUUAUCACUGUCUUUCGCUAGCUACUAGUUUCUACCAAUCCGUACAGAGCAUCAUAUUCCCAUGUUCAAAUUGCUGAGCUAUGAGCUCUGUUGGUGCAAGAUCGAAGAAUUGAAGCUUUGAAGAAUCAGUUUCUGGGUUCUUAGUUAGAAAUGUUCUUAAGUUUUUAUGUUUGUUCUUAUUUGUAAUGGAUGCCCAAGAUUAAAACAUUAAAGGGUGUAUAUUGUGUCAUCUGUCAAAUUAAUUGAUGUAAGUAAGUGGUCAUGUCUCUAGCACGUCAUCAAAGCUCACGCUGAAAGUGUGAAGGAUUGGAAUGGUGGCUAAUUCCCUCAUGCUUGCAGUGUGAGGUUUAAUCGAUUCAGAUCAAAUCUAAGGGAGCAACGUACUCACUUUUCUUCA